UACGGCCACAUGAUGUUGAAACAGCUGCUCCCUUACGAUCACCAAAGUUAAGCAACGUUUAACUUGAUCAGUACUUAAAUGGGUGACCACUUGGGAAUUCCAGGUGCUGCAA